CUUUGGAUUUUUAACAUUGUUGAGACUGCUAUAGACUAUAGGGUCUAUGGAAUUUGGACUAAAUAUAUUUUUUAUUAUGCUAUGUGUAGUUAUGGCCCUCAAAGACUCCUUUGAACAAGCCUAUGGGACGAGGGAGUGGAAUAAGAGGGUUUGUAUAAGCUUGGGCCAGGGAGUGGCACUAUUAGGAAGUGUAGCCUUGGUUGGAGUAGGUGUGUCAUGGGCUUUGAGACCCUCAUCCUAGCUGCCUGGAAGCCAGUCUUCUCCUGUUUGCCUUCAGAUGGAGAUGUAGAACUCUCAGCUCUUCCUGCACCAUGCCUGCCUGGAUGCUGCCAUGUUCUGGCCUUAAUGAUAAUGGACUGAACCUCUGAACCUAUAAGUCAGCCCCAACUAAAUGUUGUCCUUACAAGAAAAAAAAAAAGACAUGGAGGAUGUGGACCUGUUUAGAAGUAGUUCUUUGAGGAUAUUCCAAUCUUCCUAGUUAGGUUAUAUCAGCAGUCCAGUCCAAAACAUCAAACACAAAUCAGUAGCCUCAGUCCAUUCCAAUCGGCAAACACCAAACAUAAAUCAGUAGCAUGGCUCAAUCCAGAAAAAAAGUGUAA
rnacentral:lncRNA from 1 species